CGUAAACAGAGGGAAGCGAGCCUGCGAGGGGGAGCGAAUCCCAAAAAUAACGUCCCAGUUCGGAUUGUAGUCUGCAACCCGACUACAUGAAGCUGGAAUCGCUAGUAAUCGCGGAUCAGAAUGCCGCGGUGAAUACGUUCCCGGGUCUUGUACACACCGCCCGUCACACCAUGGGAGUCGGAAAUGCCCGAAGUCUGUGACCCAACCUUAGGGAGGGAGCAGCCGAAGGCAGGUCGGAUGACUGGGGUGAAGUCGUAACAAGGUAGC
rnacentral:rRNA from 1 species